rnacentral:rRNA from 1 species
UACGUAGGGACCAAGCGUUGUCCGGAAUCAUUGGGCGUAAAGCGCGCGUAGGUGGCCAUUUAAGUCCGCUGUGAAAGUCAGAGGCUCAACCUUUGAAAGCCGGUGGAUACUGGAUGGCUAGAGUACGGAAGAGGCGAGUGGAAUUCCUGGUGUAGCGGUGAAAUGCGCAGAUAUCAGGAGGAACACCGGUGGCGAAGGCGGUUCUCUGGGCAUUACCUGACGUGAGGAGCGAAAGUGUGGGGAGCGAACAGG